AUUGAACGCUGGCGGCAGGCCUAACACAUGCAAGUCGAGCGAGCGGCGGACGGGUGAGUAAUGUCUGGGAAACUGCCUGAUGGAGGGGGAUAACUACUGGAAACGGUAGCUAAUACCGCAUACCAUCAGAUGUGCCCAGAUGGGAUUAGCUAGGAGGUGGGGUAACGGCUCACCUAGGCGACGAUCCCUAGCUGGUCUGAGAGGAUGACCAGCCAACUUGGAACGGAGACACGGUCCAGACUCCUCGGGGAGGCAGGAGUGGGGAAUAUUGCACAAUGGGGGCAAGCCUGAUGCAGCAAUGCCGGGUGUUGGAAGAAGCCCUUCGGUUUGUAAAGCCCUUUCAGCGGGGAGGCGUUACCCGCAGAAGAAGCACCGGCUAACUCCGUGCCAGCAGCCGCGGUAUUC
rnacentral:rRNA from 1 species